UAGGGAAUAUUGGACAAUGGGGGCAACCCUGAUCCAGCCAUGCCGCGUGAGUGAUGAAGGCCUUAGGGUUGUAAAGCUCUUUUAGUGGGGAAGAUGAUGACGGUACCCACAGAAUAAGCACCGGCUAACUUCGUGCCAGCAGCCGCGGUAAUACGAAGGGUGCUAGCGUUGUUCGGAAUUACUGGGCGUAAAGGGCGCGUAGGCGGCACAUCAAGACAGGGGUGAAAUCCCGGGGCUCAACCUCGGAAUUGCCUUUGUGACUGAUGAGCUUGAGUAUGAAAGAGGAUGAUGGAAUACCCAGUGUAGAGGUGAAAUUCGUAGAUAUUGGGUAGAACACCGGUGGCGAAGGCGAUCAUCUGGUUCAUAACUGACGCUGAGGUGCGAAAGCGUGGGGAGCAAACA
rnacentral:rRNA from 1 species